GCCACCUUAGCUCAGUCGGUAGAGCAGCACUUUCGUAAAGUGAAGGUCCCCGGUUCGAUCCCGGGAGGUGGCU
rnacentral:tRNA from 1 species